GGUCUGCUCAAGAGUUAGGUUGACCGACUUGUCUCUGACCAUCAUCCUAGGAGGAUGAGUAAGAUUUUGUGAAUUUUUCAUAAAUCGCUUGAUCAUCGAUUUAUGAAAAAUUCUUCCGCUACGGUAGAGUUGUGUUACGUUUAAGUUUGAGAUUUGCAGAUGUGCCCUUAGAAACUCGUUAGUUCAUAAGAAUGUUUGUAAACACUCCGAUAAUGAAUAAAACAAAUGUUCCGCCAAGAACAAAUUAAGCACCUCUGCUAAUGCCUACCAUCAUCGCCUCGCAAUCCAACAACUCGAGUGCGUAUCAAUCAACCACCGCACACCACACACAUAAGGAACGCCGGUCGGAUCACACUCACGCAGUCGUCAAUCCGAGUGUUGAGUAUCGGGAGAGGAGAGGAAAACGAUAAAAGAGCCGAAGCGAAGCCCGUCGAUCGUCUUGCCGCAGCCUACGAGCAUCGCGCAUCGAGAGAAAGCGAUUCACUGCCGGUGAGAUAGCGGUUGUCUUCGUAACUACCACUACCACAACAUACUGCCAGACGGAGGGUGCUGGUCGCGCGAUCCUUCUCAUCGCCAGCAGUCGGCACGAAUCCAUCAGUCGGUACGGUAGUGAAACCGGAGCUCUAGUUACUCCGACGCCGGGAAAGCACAAAGUGACUACAUAGUGAAAAAUUCCCUGUGGAAAGAGAUAAACGUGAAACGCAAAAGGCCAAAUUAACCAUCGAGUGGCCAAUCGACGUGGUGAGUUCUUGGUUUUGCGAUCAGAAGUGUGAUAGUGAUUAGCGGAAUUUCUCCACCAUCCAGACCGACGCUACUGCAGCCAACAAAAGGAGGCGGCCAUUUUGCACGCUCAUCUUUGCCAAGCCACACGUUCUGGGAAAACCGCACAUCGUUGGGCGAAUUUCGCACGCAUCCGAACGUGAUUUGUAUUAUUUUCCUGCGGUUUGACAGCCCGUAUACCCGGUGGCGGCACUGUGGCCGUGCAACUGGCAGAUUACCAACCGUGCACGUGAUACAUUGGUCAUCGUUGCUAGACGCAGAGAACCAAUUUCAACAACCGUCCGACGAAACUUCGCACACGAUCGAACGAGCAAAGCAGGGUCAGCAGGAGGCAAAAGCUUCAUCUGGGCCACAACCAUCCAGAAAUUCCGAGAAGACAGGAACAAAGAGCCUUCACCAAAGAACUCUGCUCGCCUCAGGGCUCUUUUUUCUCGUUCCAGUUUCGGCGGCAUCAUCUAGGCAAACCGUGCGAGGGAGUAAUCAACGCCGACGCGAAGGCAAUCGACCUUGAGACGACCUCGGUGGCUUUCGGCGGAACGGAGCAGCCUGUUUCCGUUUCGGACGCGAGUUGCUCGCAGCAUCAAGGAUCGUUUCGGCAAAUCGGAGGAGCGGAGUGGUUGGCGAGGUUGGAUCCAACCAUGGAUCGGACCGCGGGGUCGUCCAUGAAGACGCAACCGACGAGCGAGGAGGCCUGUGUGCGCGGGCGAGUUAUUUGAUCGGUGGCGAUGCGUGAGUACAGUGCACAAACAAAUGUUAGUUUCUAAGUAAGAAUAAACAGCUAGGACGUAGAGAGAGGAUUAGGCGUUUAGGUGGCACAAUGCUAGGAGCCAAAUAAAGAUGUUGUCUAAAUGAAUAAGCUUUGAGUUGGUGCUUUGAUUGCCGUGUUUGUGCCCGAAUUACCCUGCUAUACGGUAGUCUUGCUCUACUGGUCGGGAAGUUUGCAACAAGAUUAUGGAGAAAUUUCUGCGAGAUUCUUCGGAGAAGUUCUGAAGGAAUCUGGAACUGGAACAUUUUAAGGAAAAUUUGAAAAAUAAAUACUUGGAGAAUGGUCUGAAUAAACCUUAAGCAAUCUUUGCUGGAACCUCUGGAGAAACCCUCGGAGGAAGUUCUUGAAGAAUCUCUUGGGAAAUUCUGGUGGAAUUUUUGAAGAAGUCCCAAGUAUAUCGAAUAAUUCCUAAAGGAAAGUCCAACGAUAACUUCUUAAAGAGUUCCUGAGAAAAAAAACUGGAUUUCUAGAGGAAAUCCCUAAAGGAUUUUCUGCAAGGAUCUCUUAAGGAAUCUCCGAAUAUCAGUUAAUAAAACAGUCUGCUGAAUUGCAAAACCAUUGGAUGAAUUCCAGGUGAAAUUCAUGAAAUUUCUUGAGAAACUUCUUGAAGAAUUCUUGGAUAAAUCCUAAAGAAAAAACCUGGCGCAAAUUCCGAUAGUGUUUCUGGAGAAAUUUGUUUACAAACACUUACAUACACGAACGUCCGUAGCAAUCCUUAAAGGUGUAUCCCAAUGUAUCCAUGAAGGCGAAAUUUCUGAAAGAAUUGCCGAAAAAAAAACAUGGACUCGUUACAAAAUAAUUUUUAUGAAAAAAUUCUCGAGCAAGCUUUGAAGAAGACCCAAGAAAAAUUUCUGGAGGUAUUCCUGAAAACGUCUCAAAUACACGGGCAGGAAUUCGUUCCAAAGAGAAUUCUGGAGCUAGCUUUGAUGGAUUAUCUUGCUGAAACCAUUCAAGGAAUUCCCACAAAACUAUUUAAUCCACAAAAUUCCAGGAAUAAAUAACUUUUGGAUUUGAUUUGACAAGGGAAUUUCUGGCUGCGUCUCUGGAGGUAAUCGUGGAGAAGGUUCUGAAACAGACAAUACCUUUUAAAGAAUUUUCGGAGAAAACUUUGAAAGAACUACUGCGGAUCUCAUAAAGGGAAUUUCUGCCAUGAAGUGCUUUCCAUAAUAUUAACAGAAUAAAAUCGUGAAAAAAAAAUUCAUGGAGAUGGUCCUGCGGGAUUGUUCAUUGAACAAUUUCCUCAAUAUAUGAUUGUUCUAGAAAUGUCCUCCCAAUCGGCACCGGUUCGAGAAUAUCCAGAUGGUUGGCCCAUAGUUUUGCUGGCUUGAGAUUUUUCCUAAUCUACUUUUACAAGGUAUUCCCAAAUUGAUCCUUUUUAAAAUCCAUCCGGAGCUGGUUUGCUUCGGUGUUCAGAAUGGCCGAGCUGAGCAGUUUGGGCCGGACUACAAUUUAGGCAUUAAAUAUAUUUCGUUUAAGGCCAAACGAGUUGAAAUGUGUAAAGAAAUGCUUCAAAGUUAUGGGUCUUUUUUACCCUUAAUGCAACGUAUAACUUUUUUCCUAAUGCAUUGGGAAGGUAGAAUA